rnacentral:tRNA from 1 species
GCGUCGGCUGGGCAUUGGAGUGCCCAAGUGGCUGUAACCCACCCGCUUUACGCAGUGCAGGUUCGACUCCUGCCCGACGCA